rnacentral:rRNA from 1 species
UCCAGACUCCUACGGGAGGCAGCAGUGGGGAAUAUUGCACAAUGGGGGAAACCCUGAUGCAGCGACGCCGCGUGAGUGAAGAAGUAUUUCGGUAUGUAAAGCUCUAUCAGCAGGGAAGAUAAUGACGGUACCUGACUAAGAAGCCCCGGCUAACUACGUGCCAGCAGCCGCGGUAAUACGUAGGGGGCAAGCGUUAUCCGGAUUUACUGGGUGUAAAGGGUGCGCAGGUGGCAGGGCAAGUCAGAUGUGAAAGCCCGGGGCUCAACCCCGGUAUUGCAUUUGAAACUGUCCGGCUAGAGUGCAGGAGAGGUAAGCGGAAUUCCUAGUGUAGCGGUGAAAUGCGUAGAUAUUAGGAGGAACACCAGUGGCGAAGGCGGCUUACUGGACUGUAACUGACACUGAGGCACGAAAGCGUGGGGAGCAAACAGGAUUAGAUACCCCAGUAGUC